CACAGGGGCAGGGCAUCAACAGGAGGGCAUAAAAGGCUGGGCUGAGGGACAAAAAGAGCAGAGCUUGCAGCCUCCUAAAGUGCCAUGGUGUUACUCUGGGCUGAAGCUUUCUGGAGUUGAAAUUGUGUGGUGGCACUCUGGGUGUGGUGGCUGUCUCAGCUGGGACAUGUGCUGUGACACAGGAGGGCAGCCCUCCUGGCAGCCUGUGUGGUCAGCAGAGAACAGAAGGGUGGAAGAAACUCUUCCCGAAGGCAGCUCAGAGUGGGCAGCUGGCUUGGAUUCUUUUGGCAAUGCACUCACCGAGCAGGAAAGUCUUGUUCCUAGAGACCUUGAAGCUUGGUGUUCUGGAUGUCUCCUCCCAAUUUGAAUUUACUUUGGACCCCAAAGCUUUCCCCUAUGGAAUGAGAAAGAAGCACCUCAUAAGGUCUUCAUUAUUGAAGAGAAAGCUUCAGCAGAAGGACUGGAGGGUGAGUCUGUGUCAGGAGCCUGUAAGCUGGUUGCUCUGGAACUCAUGGGCUGCAUCUCUUACACGCAUCCAGUGAUUGCUCUGGCAAUUGGGAUGUUCCACCCAUCUCCUCCUCACCAGUGCUGCUCACGGCCAGAGAAAAGGUCUAGAGAAAGACAGAAUUGAGCUGAAAGGAUGGAAUCUUAAAAGGGUAAGGACUGACAGAAUAAAAUGAAAUCUUUGAGAAUUGUCGUCAUGGGUUUAGCAAGUGCAACA